UCUGAUCCAGCCAAAGGAUCGGAAGAAAAAUAAACAGCGCGGUGCAUUUCCCCGUUUUUAUGGUGUUCUCGGAGCGCAAAUUUUCGGUCUGUCUUUGGUAUUCAAUCAUAGCUCACCCCGUUUGUCUGAUAAGCUGUUCGCUUUCAUCCUACUCGGGUUAGCUGAUGAUUGAAUAGAGGCAGCUGUAACACCCCAAAAUUUGCCCUCCUCAUUCAUGCAUUCAUUUAGCAUUUCAUAUUGCAUUUCAU
rnacentral:lncRNA from 1 species